rnacentral:rRNA from 1 species
AUACGUAGGGUGCGAGCGUUAAUCGGAAUUACUGGGCGUAAAGGGUGCGCAGGCGGUUUUAUAAGCCAGAUGUGAAAUCCCCGGGCUCAACCUGGGAACUGCAUUUGGGACUGUAAGACUAGAGUACGGCAGAGGGGGGUAGAAUUCCACGUGUAGCAGUGAAAUGCGUAGAUAUGUGGAGGAAUACCGAUGGCGAAGGCAGCCCCCUGGGUCGAUACUGACGCUCAGGCACGAAAGCGUGGGGAGCAAACAGGAUUAGAUACCCUAGUAGUCC